rnacentral:rRNA from 1 species
AACAUAUAUAAAAUAUUUUCUGCCCAAUGUAUUUUUAUAAAUGGCCGCAGUACCUUGACUGUGCUAAGGUAGCGUAAUCAAUUGGCUUUUAAUUGAAGUCUAGUAUGAAAGGGAUAAUGGAAUUUAGCUGUCUAAAAGAUUUUUAUUAAAAUUUAUUUAUAAGGUGAAAAUACCUUUAAUCAAAAUAAAGACGAGAAGACCCUAUGAAUUUUUAACAUUUUUUUGUUGGGGCGACAGUUUAAAAAUAGAUCUUAAUUUUAUCAAAUAUAUAACGAAUAUAUUAAUAUAAAUAAAAUUACCUUAGGGAUAACAGCAUUAUUAUUAAAAUAGUUUGUGACCUCGAUGUUGGACUAGGAACUAUACGGCUAGCCGUCUUAAGAUAUUUGUUCUGUUCGAACA